AAAAAUUACUUAUGUUUCUUUAAACAAUUUUCAAUUUAUUCCUCUCUCUACCCUUUUCAUCAUCAACAAUUGCAUUUUUUUUCGUAUUUGAUUACUCAUUUUUUGUUUCUAUAAUUUUGAUAAUCUUGAUUAAAUUUCACACCCGAGAUAAUUUCUUACUCGGAUACACUUUAAUCCUAACAAAAUAAAAAAAAAAAUUGUGAAUCAAAAACACGUUUUUUUCUUGAUUUUUAUUUUUGCACAAGAAAAAACAAAAUAGUGCUUUCCUUUCCCAUGAAAUAGACGUUUAAUUUUUGUAACUCAUUGCGUCCACAACUAGUGUGGCUCUAUUCCCUUAUUGCAUCCUCUUGGACCACUCUUGUGGCUCUAUUCUAUUAUUGCCCCCACCUACCCACUAUCGUAACAGAUUUCAAAUAAAAACUGAAAUAAAUCAUUAAAACUCAAUUUCUUUUUCUAAAAGAAAUAAAAAUCUAUCGUUUACGUGAGUAUGAUAGAUCGGAAAUUGACUCGCCAAACUAAAGGUGGUUGGUCGUUCGAUCAGAUAAUGAGAGGGUUCAAUCAAUGUUUGUUCGAAAAAGUUUCAAAUCAAUAAAUUUCAUAAAAUUAUUUCUUAAUACUAAACCAACGGACUAACAUUUAAUCAUCAAUGAUUAAGAUCAGUUUGAACAUUUUACUCCAAAAUAUGUUAUAUUUUAUUAUUGUAUAUAAAUACUUUUGUUUAUUUGAAGAUAUAGGUUCGAUCUAGAAUAAUAAUAUAAUAAUAAUUGGUGACAUAGAAAACAUCUUUUAAAAUUCACAAUUAUUGUUCUGAAUAAAACAUAUGUUUAUAAGUUUCAACUAAAGAAACAAAAUCAAGUUUUGUCGUUGGUUUUUUUUAUAAUACUUCCCAAAAAUUUGAAAAGAAAAAAUUAUUUCAAUUAAUUAACAAAUAGUUUGUUUUUUUUUUUUAAAUAAGCUAAUUUUUUUAGAAAUUUUCAAAAUCAACAAAUUUUUUUUAUAUGAAUGUAAAAUGUUUUGGUUUUUUUUUUUCUAUUUAGAAAAGAAACCCAUAAAUAAAUGUCAUAAUACUGUGAAUGCAGUCAAUAAAUAAUGAAUGAUAUUUAAUUGAAAGAGAAAGGCACACAUAAAUGACAAUAAAUAACGAUCACUAUUUUAGAAAAAAUGAAUGAGAAGUCUUUUCUAAUAUUUACAAAAAAAGAAAAAGAAAAAAACUAAAAUAAAUUUAGUUGAGCACUGAUUGACGUUACUUUAGACGUGACUGCACAGUGUACAUCAUAAAUAUAGGAAGUUUAAUUUCUCCUAACUACGACAGUUGUAUUCUACUAAAAAAUAAUCCGAUAAUACUAAAAGAAAUGGUAAUUCUCUACUUAAAUCUUCCAAUUAUUUAAAAAAAUUGAUGUUUUUUCUAAAAUAAGAAGUAGUUAGGUAAAAUAAGUGAAUUUUUUUAAAAUAAGAAUAUUAAUAAUAAUUAAAAUAAUAAUGAUAAUAAUUAAAAAUAAUAGAUUAAAUAAGAUGGGCCCACCGACGCAUUCUAAUAGAACAAAAAAUUUACCAAUUUACCUAAAUACUUUUAAAAACACUAAUUUUUUUUUCUUUUAAAAAAAUCCCUUUUUCAAAUCACCCUAAAUCUUCAAACAUUUAAAGAUUAAAAUGAACUUUUAAUAUUUGAGGUUUAAAGUUAAUUUUAAAAUUAAUUCAAUAUAAUUUAUACUAAUGUACAUGUCAAUCCUUAAAAUUAACUUAUUGACCAUUUAGAAGUAUUUAAAAACCAUGUGGAUCAAAGUGUUUAAACUUUCAAGAUCAAAUAGACAUAAACUUCAAACUCUAUGAACCACAAGUCCAUUUUAUCCAAAUUUUUUUCUCCUAAAUUCAUAUUUAUUUUUAUAAAUUAAAUAUGUCAACUCAUUUCAAGUUUUUUUGUUUCAAUUUUAUAAUGAAGAUGACACACAAUUACAUAACUUUACAUGCACAUUUUUUUAAUAUUAUUUUCGAAGAAAGACCAAACUUUUUCAAUAUUUUAUCAUACAUUUUUUUCUUUUUUUUCAAAACUUUCCUUUCCACAUCAUUCCGUCUCAAAAUAUUUAUAAUCUUUAUAUUAUCAUGUAAUUAUCUUUUUUAUACAAAUGAUGAUUCAAAAUAAUUCAUUAUAAUUCGAUUAAGCCACCCUCUAAAUAUCAUUAAUCUAACCGUUUAAAUUUUUAAUUUUGUUCAAAAAUAGAAAAAUUUAACAAAUUGUUUACACCCGAACAAAACACUGAAUUUCAUACAUCAAAGGUGGAUAAAAAUGUUUAAACAAAAAAAGGGAGAAAGAGAGAAUAGUAUUAAAAUAGAGGCGUGUGUAUGAAGCUAUUUGAUAGGCCAAUACUCUUCUCUUCUUCAACCACUUGCCCACACGGAUGUAUCAAUAAGUUCUUGUUGUGGCUGCGUGCCUAUAGUUAUUUUCGCUUUGAAUUUGUAAACGAUAUUUUUUUUUUAUGAUGUAGGUUUAUUUGAUCUUGCACCGUUCGUAUCAAACAGUAUACUUUUUGUUUCAUGAACGAGCGAAACGUUUAGCAAAUUCAAAUGGACAGUGAUAAAUCAUCGUUUCAGCAUUAAUUGAUUUUGUACCUUUACUAUUUCGUAUAGCAUAAAAUUUCCAACAAUUUCAAUCUUUCAUUAGCUUUCCUCAAACUUCAUUAUCAUUGGUUUUGUAUUUUUGGAACUACCAGCCCAUUGCCCUUGUUCCUCGUACGAACAAGUUUUCUUGAUUUUUUUUUUGUUCAUAGAAAGUUGGAUUUGGAAGGAUUCAGAGUUUCAAUGGCGGGUGGAUUUGGAGGAAUAUGCGCGGGUUUUCGUUCAAUGGCGUUGACGAUGUUCAACUUUGCUGUAGUUUUGGCUUUGGUUUCCGGCGAGAGAAAAAUGAAGCUCGAAGGAAGUUCUGAAGAUUUGAAUCUGUUUCAAGGAGCUUUGAAUUUCUUGUGGCAAUCGGAUAAAACAGGGUAUCAUCAUGUUUGGCCUGUAAGUUGCCGUAAGAACUCUUGUUAUUUAUGGAGAUGAAAACAAAAAUCCUAGUGCAAUCAAGUUUGUUUUGUUUAUGUUUAUGGCUAUGUUUACGUUUUUCUCUAAUCAUUUUCAUACUUCUCAAAUUUGAGUUUAAAAGAAAACUUAGUUUAGAUGUUUGAACUUAACUUUGAGUUGUUAUGUUAGAAUAAUUUUUGGUUUUGAGAGUUUAACUCCUCGUGUUCAUAAACUAAGUUGUUCUCCUUUUGGAGCUUUUUCCUUUGGGAACUCUUAUUUUAGACUUGUUUUGAUUCAGAUCUAACCAAUCAGUGUUUCUUUUUGGAUUGUUUAUGGUUUCGUUGUGAAAAUGGAUUUCUGUAAAUUAUUUUGAUUAGUGAGUUAUUGUAAGACCUUUUAGAAAGGUUAUAUUCAAAGUUGGAAAAGGUAUUGAGAUUUAGGUUAGCCGUAUGGCUAAACUAUAGUUUAUUCAAGCUUCACAUAGACUUUCAUCUCAAAUUUGUAAUGAGGUUCUUAGGUAUGAUCGAAAUUAUGAAUAAGACCAUGAGAAAAGUGAAUGAAUUAAUUGUAUAUUUUAAUAUUGUUUGCAGGAAAUGGCAUUUGGGUGGCAGAUUGUAGUUGGUUCUGUUAUUGGAUUUAUGGGUGCUGCAUUUGGAAGUGUAGGAGGUGUUGGUGGUGGGGGAAUUUAUGUUCCUAUGCUUAGUUUAAUCAUUGGGUUCGAUCCAAAAUCAUCUACAGCUAUAUCGAAAUGUAUGAGGAAUGAUCUUUGUAAUAUCAAAUCGGCUCGAAUCUGCUCAGGAUUUGUUCUUAAUAUGUCUAAUUUGUAUAGUUUUUCUUGAUUCUUUUGUUUUCUUAAGGUAUGAUAAUGGGAGCAGCAGCAUCAACCGUCUAUUAUAAUCUUAAACUAAGACAUCCAACACUUGAACUUCCUAUCAUUGACUAUGAUUUGGUUCUUCUUAUCAUGCCUAUGCUCAUGUUGGGCAUCAGCGUUGGGGUAGUUUUUAAUGUCAUAUUUGCUGAUUGGAUGGUUACUGUCCUCCUUAUCGUUCUCUUCUUAGGUAAUGUAGAGACGUAUCUCAUUCAACUUCAUACUGAAUGAUUUCGUUCUGCUCUGUUAAUCUUCUGGCUGAUAUUUGUGUUUUGUAGCUACGUCAACGAAAUCGUUUUUGAAGGGUGUUGAAACUUGGAAGAAGGAAACCAUAAUGAAAACGGUCAGUACUUAAACUUGGAACUUCAAGUUUCUUCUGCAUGUAGUUUCGAUUAUAUGGUUAAAAUAAAAUUUGUGGUGCUGUAAACUGUAAAGUCCUUUGAUCAUACAUUGUUGUUUUUUAACAAUAUUGGAUGCCAUUUCUUUUCAACUUUUAGGAGGCUGCUAGGCGUGCUGAAUCAAAUGGUGAGACAAUUUACUGUUUAUCUUAUCAAGAUGGUGAUAAUCCUUGUUCUUAUUUCAUAUUCCACCUUUUGUAAAAUUAGAUAUUCAAGCCGAUACAGCAUAUGCUCCUCUUCCCAGUGGACCGAGCCAUAGGCCUGAAACGAACAACACUGAUCGAGAGGUAAGUUCAUUCAUAGUUAUAGAUGAUGACAUAAUUGAAUGUGCUGUAUCAUGUUAACGUAGAUUAUUUUAUGAUAAAGAAGUAUCUAUUGUAAGAUAUGUUUAUGCCAGAUAUGUUUUGGUUGUAUCUUGGUCUUGGUGUAGAUCAUCUGCCCUCUUUCAUUAGUAUAUCUUUACAACCCUCUUGUACUAUUGGAGAGAUUUUAUGAACUCUUGAAAUUCCCCUUUUCUAAUUUCAUUCCAUGAACGAAAUUGUUUCUUUUCUGUAUAUUUUACCAAACAAAAGAUUACCAGAAAUGAGAAUGCUGAAUUAUGAUUGAAAUGGCAGGUUCCAAUUCUCGAGAACGUGUAUUGGAAAGAAAUGGGUCUUCUUUUAUUAGUUUGGUUUGCAUUUCUUGCAAUACAGAUUACCAAGGUUUUUGCCUCUUCUUUCCAUUUUCAACAUCAACUCUUUACUCUUGAUUUGGCAAUCUCAAUAAUCUGUCCCUCUCUUGUUGGAAACAGAAGCAUUCACCCAAUUGUUCAUGGGAAUACUGGCUACUGAACUUCCUGCAGGUAAGUUCGCUGAUCCUCUUCCAAAUUCUCUUGUGCUUUUUCUUGUCGAUUUCUUGUUUAACCAAAAAUUGCUCUGCAGGUACCAAUUGCUUUUGGUGUAUCUGGUUAUGAAGCAGUUGGUUUGUACAAAGGAAAGAGAAAAAUUGCAUCUCUGGGAAAUCAGAAGACAGAUUUUCGAAUUUACCAGCUUGUUCUAUAUUGCUUCAUGGGCAUAAUAGCUGGAGUUGUUGGUGGGCUACUUGGUCUUGGUGGAGGAUUUAUCAUGGGUCCACUGUUUCUGGAGCUCGGCAUUCCCCCUCAGGUAACAUUUCUGUUACCUCGAUACGCGAUAUUAAAAUCUUGCUUAUGCUUUUUUGUCUAUGGUAUUGGGGGACUCUGAGUCCAGGGUAAAUUAUGACCUUACAACCAAAGGGACCGGUGAGGCACAUGCACUCUGCCAUCAACUUUUGGUCGAGGAUUUAAUAAUUAUUUUAAAAAAUUAUGAGAUAUUUGAAUUUUUAUAAAUAGAACAAAAUAUCACUCUUAUAUAUACAAUAGGCUAGGGAUAUUUUUAAAAAUAGCAAAAUAAAUUAUAAUAUUUAUAAUCUAUAGCAAAAUUUUGGAUUCUAUCCGUGAUAGAAACUGAUAGACUUCUUUUACUGCCUAUCAAUGUAUAGAAGCAUAUCAUUUUCAAUGUCUGUUAUUGAUAGAAUCUGAAAUUUUGUUAUAUGUUGUAAAUAUUUUAUCAAAUUUGCUAUUUUUAACGAUUAUCCAAGAUACUACUAUCAUCUAUUAGGUUUAUGCAUUUGUAACUCACAAUCUUGUAUCUUGGGUCUAAUAAAUUCUUUUAACUUCAUAAAUAUUUUGUGGCUCCAACAAUUUUUUAUUUUGUUAGAGAUUCAUAUCUUAUUCCACGUCUUACAAAUUUAACAAAUUUAUUAGACAUAAAAUUGAUUAUGUUCCAUUUGAUUCGUAAAUUAUAAAUAUUUUAAGCCAAGUACAAAAGUCUUAGUUUUUGUCUAUUAAAUAAAUUGUUAGCCCAAAAAUGUAUUUUAACGCAAACUUCUAAAUUCAAAUUGAUUUCCUUUUGGCUAGUGGGACCCAUCUAUAAACCAUAGUGAUGUUACGUGAUUGGGUUAAAAGUUUGAUCUCUAAACUUUCGUAUAUGUAUCGUGAAUAUGUCAAUACUCUAUUAGACACAUAAAAAAUUUCGAUAUUCAUUAGACAAUUAAAAAUUUGAAGACUUAAUAGUAAACACAAAAUCAAACAUUUUGAACCAUGUUAUUAUAUACUUUCGAAAGUUUAAGAACCUAUUAGAUACAAAAUUAUAAUUGAUCUAUUCAUAGUUGAUGGACAAUUAGGAUUGGUUUCUUUUUUUGGUUCUUUGAGGAUGGGAGUACAUUGUUGAAUUAGGAUCCCACCUACUUGUUUGCUUUCAAAAUCUGAGACAUCGUGGGUAGACUAUAGAUCCCACCAAAGUUUAACUUUUCUUCACCUUUGCUUUGCAGGUAUCAAGUGCUUCAGCAACUUUUGGAAUGACAUUCUCCUCAUCGAUGUCUGUUAUACAAUACUAUCUUCUUAACCGUUUCCCCGUUCCUUAUGGUAAAUCAAUUCCAUCUCACGUUGCAAUUAUCUUUCUGUUAAAGAGUGUACAGACAAAGUUUCACGUUGGCUAGGAAAGUGGAGAGAUAUUUAUGGUAAAUGAGCGAGGGACUUUCUGAUCAAAUUAAAAGCAAAUUAUGAGGGUUUAUGCUAUCUGUUUUCUAGAUUUUCAGGAUCUCUAAAGUGAACCACACGUUAUAAUCAAUCCUAGAAAUUUCCAUUUCUCAUUCCUCUAAAGUUUUCAAUCUAUCGAUUUACUGAGCAAGGUUGUAAUGUUUUUUGCACAGCUCUUUACUUCACCAUUGUGGCCGCCGUAGCUGCAUUUGUUGGACAGCACGUAAUCAGAAAACUGAUCCUUUUGAUUGGAAGAGCAUCUUUAAUUAUCUUCAUUUUGUCCUUCACAAUAUUCGUCAGUGCACUCUCUCUAGGUGAAAUAUCAUACACAAGCAAACUGCUUUAUGCAAUGUUCCUCAAUAUGAUAAUUUAACUAAAUCUGAAAUCAAUUCUGGUUUGGUUUGAUAGGUGGAGUUGGAAUCUCGAAGAUGAUAGGACAAAUUCAGCGACAUGAAUACAUGGGAUUCGAAAAUCUGUGCAAAUAUGAUGCAUAAGGUAUAGCCUCCUGGGAAAGAAAUGUGAUCUAGUAAUUGUUUUUGAAAUUCUUGUGAUUAAGUUGGAACUUUUGUCCAUUAAAUUCGAUGGCUAAGAUGCUAAAAUUAAUUGAUUUACAUCAUUAGGGCAGUUUGUCAUAUGGGCCUCGACAGCCUAGAAAGCAGAAAUGUAUAUUCUAGUUUGGGAAAAAGCAGUCUCAGAAAUAUGUGCACUUGAAUGUGCCCGGAAGUAGAUUUUCAAUAUUACUUUUCCUAUUCACCAUGCAUUUUUGGAUUGGGUUCUCGAAUUCUUUCUGAGUAACGAUGUUUUAAUUAAGACUUAGUUUGUUAACCCUUUAAUUUUUAGUUCUACUUUUUUAAACUUAAGCUUGUUGAUACUAUUUUUACUCCUAAGUUUCUUUUUUGUCUCGUCCUCUUGCUAUUUUACUUAUUAGCAUUAGUUCAGCUGAUUAGGGCAUUAUACAUAAAAUUUACCAUUGAUGAAUCUGGAGAGUUUGUGAACUUUCAAUUUGGACAUUGGAGUUAAAACAAUUGUUACUUUUUUCUGUUCUAUGGAUUACAAAUAGUCAAAAUACAAAGUUGUGCUAGUACUUAAAGAGAAAACUGAUACAUUCAGUUGGGUUUAUGUUAAUUGGUGACUAAAUGUAUAUGUAUAUAAUUAGUUGGUACCAAUUAAAUUUUGAACUGCACCAAACGAUUUCUGUCGUUUAAGAGUUAAUUAUCGACAUUUUUAUCGGAGCAAUGCAUUGUAUAUAGAAAAUAUUUUAUAUGUUGAAAUACAAUCCUUCAUUCUCUUUUAUUAAUGGUUGAUUUUAAAUUUGACAAAUCUUAAGUAUUUAUAAAUAUAGCCAAAUACUAAUAUGGAAUUUGCUAUAUUGAUAAAUAUUUUCAACAAUUUUAUCUUUUAAAACAAUUUCUUAUUAAUAAAUCAAACUCAUUAUAAAACUGAUCUUCAAGACUAGGACUAUAAAAUUACGAAUAGAAGUAUACUAUUUCUCUUUUCAAUUAUUUUGUAAUAAGUAAUUUAUUUUUUGUUUCUUUCUCUCUCUGGUUCAAAACUCUUCCUUCUUUCUUUUGUAUUUUUUGCCCUCCCACUACUUUUUCUUCAUUCUUUUAUUUGCUUUGUCUUGUAUAUUAUUUAUAUUUUGUUCUUAUUUAAUUAUGUAGAGUUUUUAAUACAAUGUUUUGUGUUGCAUUAUUGUUAAAUAAUAUAGGGUCAAUUGUAAUUUCUUUUCCUUCUCGGCUUUGAGUUUGUUUAGAAUGGUUCUCUAAUUAUUGUAAAUGAUAAAUUUGUCUAAAUAAAAUAAGUUGGGAGCACCAAUGUGAGUAAAUCAAUUAUAUUAAUAUUGAUUGAAUCACCCAAUCAUAUUAUCUUUCUUGACUUACAAAUCAAGAACUUUAAUUUUUGUCCAAUAACUUAUAUAUAUAUAAAUAUAUUUGUUUUAACUUAAAAUAAUCUUACUUCUAAAUUUUUAUAUAAGUUUUCACAAUAUUUUAUGUGUUUCCAUGGUAUUGACAUGGUGGUCAAUUGAGUCACUGACCCUAAUAAAGACAUUGAUAUUUUCAUACUUGGUUUACAAAUUUACAAAAAAAAAAAAAAAACCUAAUUAUAAUAAUAAAAUCUUGGUUAAAAAAUGAAAUAGUUAGAAAAGAUAGCUCUAAAAUAUUCUACAUUUAAUCAUUAAAAUUUUAAAUUUUGAGUUUAAUCUCAAUUUAGUAGUAAGUUUUAAAAUAUAGCAAUUUUUUUUUUAUUAAAAUUUGAGUUUUAUCUCAAUUUAAUCCUAAGUUCUAAAAUAUAGCAAUUUUUUAAAAGUUUUAUUUGAAUUUGGUUCGAAGGUUUCAAGAUUUUUUUUUUCUUUUUACUAAAUUCAAUUUGGCUUUAGUAUAAAUGUUUAUUAAUUAAUUAAACAAAAUUAUAAUUAACUAAAUUUCACUAUUUUUCAUCUUGUCUAAAUUCAAUUAUCGUUAUUUUAAAAUAAUUAAUAGACAUUGAUGUGAAUGGUUGAAAUUGUAUAUUUAAUGAGAAAUCGAUGUUAAAACUGUAAAAUCUCAAAUCAUAGACCAAGUUGAAAUAAAAUUCAAUUUUCAAAAGUAAAAUUGUAAUACUUUGAAGUCUAAAUACUAAAUUGAAACUAAACUCAAAAUUUAAGGACUAAAACCUCCUACCAAUCUGGAAUGAAAAUUAGUGUAAACCUAAUGAGAUUUCUUUGAUGGACUAAUCAUAAUUGACUUGAAUGCAAAUGUUACUAAAUGUCUUUAUACUAGUUUACUUAAAAUUACGAAUAUGUCAUAUUUGCUGCUUGAUUCUAACAAUAAUGAUAAUGGUAAUGGUAAAAUUUAAAAGUGACAACAAAUUCAUAAUUAUAACUAUAAAGUUAAAGGUAAUGAGUCUCAUACAAGUUUCAAACUAAAUCAAAUUGACGACCUCCUACCCUCUCAAUCAAAUUAUAUUCUUUGAUUACUUACUUGAGAUAGACCUUACAUUUCGUUACAAUUAUGAAACACAAGUAAUUAAACAUCAUUAAUUUGUAUAACCUAUUUUUAAAGUAUAAAGUAGAGUGAUAGUUGUGAUUAUACUCUCAAAUUUUCUAGAGUAAAAAAUGAAUUUUCAAACUUAGGUUAAAAUUGGAUCCUCGAACUUACAAUAAUCGUAAGAAUCAAAUCUCAAAAUGGUAAAAAUUAAACAUUCAAACAUAUAUAGUUAUAUACAAUUAUAUACAUACAUAGAUAUGUAUGUAUUCAGAUUCAUAACAUUCAACAUUCUAUUUUUUAAUAUAAUUACAAAACAUGAAUUCUCCUCGGUGAAAGUAAAGUGUAACACCAAUUAUUAUAGAAGAUACUGGAGAAUGCAUGCUUUUAGAGAGUAAUAUAUUAUUCACAUAUGAUAUUAUAGAUCUAAGAAUAACAUAAAAUGAUCCAAGAGUCCAAAAAAAAAAAAAAAACGAAUAGGAGUUUGUCCCAAAUUGUAAAGAACACGAAAAAAUAAACAUAGAAAUUUAGAUGAGUAUUGAGAGAGUUUAAACCAGAGUUUUUGUACAAAUGACCUGAUCUUAAGCGUUUAUAACAUUUUGCUUACAUCAUAACUCACUAUCCCAUUUUGUUAAUUUACUGCGUUAGAUAUGACAUGCAUAUCAUCCUAACGUGAUCAGUGACCAUCCUUAUUGUCAUCUUCAUCUUUAAAUCUAACAAAUUAAGUAGAAGAAGAAUAAGAAGCACAACAAACAUUCUUGGUAUUGCAUUAAGAAUGACCUUAUAGCCAUAUCAUGAUAUUCAUUUUUAUCAACAAAAAAUUUACUAACUGUGUGAGAGAAAAAGACACACAAUAUAAACAUCACACUAGGAUGAUACAAAGCAUUGGAGUGAUACAUAUGACUAUAUCUAAUUUGACAAAAUGAGAUAAUAAGUUAUGAGGCAAGCAAAACACUUUCACGAAAGACUAUCCUUACAAAGAUCUCACGAUAAGAGAAAGAAUAUAAAAAAAAUAAUAAAUAUUUUUUAAAUGUAAGAACAUAUAUAUUUCCUAAAUAUAUAUAACAAAAUUUUAAAUUUUAUGUUAUAUAUAUUAAUGUAACUGUUAGCACAAUAAAAAUUUAUUUGAUAUCCAUUUAAAAUUUUGGUUUACUAUAUUUGAAAACAACUGUUAUCUUUAAUUUACAAGUUUUUUUUAUUUAAGGAAAGUUUAUGUUGAAGUUUAUACAUUAAACAAACAUAAACUCGAGGAUUAAACUAUAAUUUAAAGGAAUAUUAUUCUACGCUAUCCUGGAGGGUGGUAUAUCAGCGUCCUGUUAAAAGAUUCAAAAUCACACGCAACUCGCUAGAGGGCUAAUCUCUCUCUAUUUUUCCCCAAAUUGAAAACCCUAAUUCAUUCCAUUCUCUCCAUUUCUGAGAGUUGAGCAAACGAAAUCGAAGCACCAUGGUCUUCUAUUUCAAAGCCCGGCCUGACGUCGGCGAUUACACCAUUUUCAUGGGGCUUGACAAGUACGAGAACGAGGAGCUCAUCAAAUACGGCUUCAUCGAGGAUAUUUGGUAAUCUUUCCUCUAUCUCUCUUUGUUAUUUAUGUUUCUUUCGCGGCUUGUUGUUUGAUGUCAAUUUCAUUGAGAAAUGGUUGUAAAUGGUUUCUCUUGAUUAAUCAAGUCGGGGGAUAAAGUGCUGCUGAUGUUUACUUUCUUCGUUGAUGUAUUUGGAAAUUGAUAUUCGAUUUUCUUUUUUGAGUUUAAAGGUAAAUCAAUCUGGUUGGUUGUUUUUUGUUCUGAUUUAAAUCAAUUUCCUUCCCUUUGUAGAGCUUUAUGAAACUGAAAUUGAAUACAUUUGAGGAUGUCUGGCGGAUUAUGAAGAGAAUGAAAUGAGUUUCCUGUCUUCAUUGAUAUCUGGAUUUUUCAUUGCACAAUCUUUUAUUAAGUGAUACAGGACUCGGACUUAUCAUGGUCUUGACCACUGUUUUAAAAACCCUGGUGUGCCUAGGCUUAAGGCACAGGUUUGGCGCCUUGUCUUGAAAAAGCAAGGCUCACAAACUAAGGCGCGCCUGCCUUCUGGGAUGCCAAACGUCUCAAAGCCUGUACCUUGGGGCUUUUUCAUUAUUUUUAGAAAAUCGUAAUAAUUGGAGGUUUUCCCCCUUAUUUUUAAUAUGGAACAAUUAAAUUUAGUAAGACUAAAUGAAAUUUUCUUGUGUUAGAGAGGGUUUUUCCCCCAUAUUUCUAUUCAACUAUGUUUUCACUCCUCAAUAUAGUACUUUUAUAUAUAAUGUGCCUCACAAAAAAAAUCCAUUUGUUUUUCACCUUGUACUUGAGUCCUAGAAGACCAUUGCUCUUUAUUGCACCUUGAACUUUAAAAAUUACUGACUGUUUUGUGGCAUUAAGAACUAAGGGGUUAUCAUUUAGUCUUUUGUAUCUAGUUUUUGUUUUAGGGAGGACUUGGCUUAAGUUUUCUUCUAUUCACAAUGAUUGUUUUGUGCAGGUUCCAUGUGGACAAGAUGUCAUCUGCUCAUGUAUAUGUGAGACUGCAAAAAGGGCAGACCAUUGAUGAUAUUAGUGAAGGGUUGCUGGAGGAUUGUGCCCAGCUUGUAAAAGCAAAUUCUAUUCAAGGUAAAAUUUGAACAGUUUUCUAGAAAAUAGGAAAAUGUUAGCUCUUGACGUGGUGAAAUAUGUUUGUUUUUUCAUAUAUCAAACCUUUAAAAUACAUGUGCCUGUUUCUGAAUUGUGUCACGAGGUAGAGAAUAUUGACUAUUAUCAUUUUUAUCUGUGACAGGAAACAAGGUGAACAACAUCGAUGUUGUGUAUACACCUUGGUCCAAUUUGAAGAAAACUGCUUCGAUGGAUGUUGGCCAAGUUGGUUUUCAUAACCCCAAGAUGGUAAGCUUAAUUGUUUUAGUUUGGCAAGUGGAUAUGUCCAUAAGCAUUUUGUUUUAUUUUAUCUUUCCUUUUUCUUUUUAAGUAUUUAUGGUUCUUUUAUGGAUGGGAAUAUUCAAGGUGAUUCACAAAGCCUUUUUCAUACAAAAUUCAGGUCCGAACUGUGAGGGUGGAAAAACGGAUCAAUGACAUUGUCAAUAGAUUGAACAGAACUAAAGUGGAAAGGAAGCCUGAUUUGAAAGGUAAAUUGGAAAUGGCGUUUUUGUUGAAAUUUUCCAGUGGCAUACAUGAUACAUCAAACAUAUCAUGGUCGUCCCAUCUUCACAUCAUCACAUGCAUAUGUACUAGUAAAACAGUUGACAAGCACUUUGUUUUUCAUUAUACAGCCGAACGUGAAGCAGUGAAUGCAGCUGAAAGAGCAGAGAGGAAGCAACACUUGAGAGAUAAGGUUGGUGACAACUUUUUGUUCGGUCUCUGAAAUUACUCCUUUUGUCGGUCUACAUCUUGGAUUUUUAUAUUUCAACAUUGCCCUCUACCCCAAGGGAGAAAAAUAUUUUUUCCAGAAUCUAGUUGAUACAUAUGCAUAUGAACUGGUUACUAUUUUAUCCCAAAUCGGUAUGUAUGGGAUGAGCCCUGACUUCUAUAUGUUACUAAAGGAAAGUACACACAUAGAAAUAAAAACAAUCGUAUUUUCAUGAUGGCCUUAGCUUAGCUUUUCCUUCACACACAUAAGCAAAAUAAAGAAACUGGUGGAUUUAAAGCUCCUGUAUUUUCUACGUAGACAUUCUUACUCUAACGUUGUACUUUACUCUAUAAUUGUUUUGCUUCACAAGUCUAGAAGUGUUUAUCUAGCAAUUGUAUGUUUAGAUAUUUGCUAGUGAGUAUAACCAUAUUGACCAUUGCUAGCAAUAUAUUUUUUCGCCAUUAAACCAAUGUUCUCAGACCUGGUUUUGUUUGCUAGGUGGUUUUCAUGAAGUAUUGUGAUUCUUUUCAUGUCUAGUUAUAGUUAAGUUUCAUUUUGUAGAAACGCCGCGAGGAAAUGGAAAGGUUAGAAAAAGAGAGGCAAGCAGAGUUAAGGAGCUACAAGGGUUUAAUGGUGUCUGAAAAGAUGACAUCUAACAAACAGAUUGCAGCAACAAGCAAAUCACUACAAGAGCUGGAGGAUGAUUUCAUGUGAUCGAAUUGAUCCGCGGUUCAAAUGCUGCAAAAACUAGCAGCAGCUAAACCUGCUCGUCCGUAGAGAUGGCCAUCUGCCCAAUCCAGUUUGUGGUUCUUGGCCCAAAGUUGUUCUCUCGUGAGUGAGUGAUCAAAUUGUCUUUAGCCUCGAUGAUAUUCAACUCUAUUGUGUCUAGACACUUGAUGACUAUACAAAUGGAAAAUUGCUGUGCCUUUCAAGAUAGCGGAGAAAUGGUGUUCUGUAAGUUGUAAUUACUGUUACUCUUGUUUAAUGAUGAUAAAUUCAGCUCGUUUUGGCCUACUUUUUUCUUUUUCAUAGUAAGAAAAAGGAUGUCAUUUUUCUUUUGAUAUGGAUUUUUUCAUCUAGCUUUAUAUUGAGUGGUGAUUUUUCAUUUUGGUAUCUCUUUUUUUUUUGGUUGCUUGAUGAACCCCACCUAGUUUCUUCCAAGGCAGGUGAAAAGCUGUCAUUGAAAUUUGAAAGUCUGGCGUGUUUGCUUUUAGAAAAAGUAACUUCUACUGCAAAAAAAAAAGCAUUUGUUUUUCUUUGUUUCUUCCAUGUCAUUUGAAUGCUUUGGUUGACUAUUUCUCUAAACUACGUCUCAUAAAGGUAAAAGUAUUGGUCGGGUAAAUGUUUUGAUGUGCAUCGGACAUUUUUUUGAAGUAGUAUAGUACAAGAAAUGGUAGUGAGAGAGAUUUACAAACUUCUUGGAUGUACACUAUCAAUCUCAAUGGUGAUGCCCUUCUUCCUUGAACUCCUAAAUAAGAAACGUAGCUCUUUCAUUCUUACAGUUGUGCUAAAAAUAUAGUACUUUGUAGAGGACAUAAUUUCAUCCAAGUGGUGCUCCCCUUUUUAGUUCAUAUGAAAACAACUGUUAAUUAUAACAACAACAAUAAUAGUAAUAUUAAUAAGAUAUUUAUUAUCAUUUAAAAAAACAUUGAUUGUUGUAUGAUUCAAAAUAUAUAUUAAUUUCUUUUUUCAAAAAAUGUAUUAGUUUAUAUUUUGAACUUUUUGUGACAAUUCUCGAAAUUUAGGUCUUCAAUUCUUUAUACUUGUGUGAAAACUAAAAUUAGUCGAUAGUUACACUUACAAAUUUCUUUAGAUUUAUAAACUUUGUCAUUUGUAAACUAUUAGCUGUAAUUAAUUUAAAAUCACCUAAAUAGAACAACUUUCUCCAAAAUCUUAUCAAAUUAAUGAAAAAACUAUCACAUAUUUUUUUUUUAAAAAAAAUAGGUGAAAAAUAUAGAAGGUAAAAUGAAAGAAAAUUAUCAUAUUAUGUUAAUCGAUGCAUUUUAAGAAAUUUUAUAUUAUAUAGUUUUUAAACAAAAUAAUUUAAGUGAUACAAAGUCAAAUAUGAAGUUUUUCUUUUUUUCCAAAAGAGAUAUGGUGAAAAAUUGGUGAAGUUUUAAAAAGAUGAAAUAAAGUGUGACGGAGGUCUUUUCCCGUUAAAACUUGUCCAUUACUGCAACCAUUACACGUAAUCAUUGUCGGUAGUACGACAUCUCCGCUUCACACGUGUUUCGAUCUACACCGUUGAAUUUCCAAACGUGCUGUCAUCUUAGCCGCUGGUUUUGAAUCCCUUUAGUCCGCCCCUUUAUGUUUGAAUAGAGCUCCGGACCGUUUAAAUUAUCGUUUCCAAAUCCUAAGCCAUUUCGCUUUCGCUACCAGUUCCUCUCUCUGCUUUCCUUCAUUCACUUCUUCUUCCGAUCAAAUUUCUACUCCGCGCAGAUUCUCUAAUGCGUUCUGUUUCGAUCGCUGCAUCCAGUUUCAUCUAUUUAUCUGCACUUCACCGCCGCUCGACGCCGACGCCGGUCAGUUCUUUAGGGUUUCUUUGGUUAAUUUUGUUAUCUUCCGUUUAUUUUAUGAUCUUUUUGUCGAUUUGAUUGUUUUUCGCUUCGGAUUGAAGUUUACUAGGCAUUUCAGUUCAAGUUUGUGGAUUCUUGAACAUUUUUCUUUCCUUCUAUUUUGAGUGAUUUACCUUGUGGACUCUAUGAAAUGUUCUCUAUCUUAUCCUCGUUGUGGUUUCGGUUUAUUCACACUUAGGUAAUUUGUUGUUUUCUGUUUCUGGAGUUCGAUUUUGUAAUGAAUCAUUUCUCUGAUCUUUUUUUUUCAGUCUUUGCGGCGGUGGAAAUUGAAUUUUUGUUAGUCAUUUCCGUUUUUUUCAGGUUUGGCUCCUGGCAGUCAUUUCUGUUGUUUUUGAGGUUUGGAGUACGGUUAAUAGGUUUGAUGCUAGUAUUGUGCACAACGUGCGUUUUAAUCAAGGAUUGAUAGCUUAUUCCACUCCUAAAAUUAGGUUUCAAUUGUUAUACCUCUCAGUUUGUUUUCAUGAUAUGGAUUUUGGACUUCUUGUUGUAGUAAUUAAUUUUAAAUGACGAGGCCUUUUUUCUCUCACGUAGAGUGAGUUUUGAGAAUAUCGAUAGCAUUCAUUUUUCGCCUGGAGGAAUAUCUGAUUUUAUGCGUUUCACAUCACUUAUUGUAAAAACUGCCUAAAGAAACUUUGACCGAAGUUAGAUCCACUAUGUCUCACUGCUGAUUUUCAACAUCAUUGAUUCAAAGACCAUGUUGAGCUCAAAUUUUAUACAGCUUUGAAAUACUAAGAUUUAAUUUACUGGAGCUGAUGUUUUUUGGUUCGAUUCUUGCCUUUGAAUAAUGAUUAUGCACAUUUAUACAUUAUAGAUACGGCCGUAUGUUUUGUAUUUUUGUACUAUUUCUUUGUUCUACUGCCUGCAGAUAUUCACUGGUUAUUUUCCUUGGUUAGAAAUUGUUGGAUGAAAUGGUAGAUUUUUCCACAUUGGAAUAAAAUAAUGGUCUGGAUAGCAUUCUUUGGAACAAGCCAUUGUCGGGUAGGAAUUGGGAUAUUAUGCAUUUGCCCCUCUAUGUCAAGGAGUUAUGGAAGGUGAUAAGACCAUCUCAACACCUUCGGACAAUCCUGAGGAGGCAGUUCGUGAUCAGAGGAUACGUGCUCUCCAUGGGUAAUUUCAUUCAUCUAACUAAGCAGAUCUCAUGCUUUGCUUCAUAUUUCUUCUCAUUCGCCUCAUUCUGCAAGUUUUGGCCUCUGUAUGCACUUUACUAUAUUGGUGUCUUGUAACUGUUGUUUUGCAAGUCUUCUAAACCAAAUUUGCCACCAUAACUCAUAUAAGAACUGUUUCAGUUGCAAUAUUCUUGAGUCCUGUUUCUAUAAAACAUUUUCCUUGGUUUCCUUUAUUACUGGAGAGGCAUACCAGUCACUAACUAGCUUGUUGUAAUUCUGUCUUUAGCAACUUGUAAUUUUACUUUCUUUUCAUUUUUCCUUGUAAAUGGUUGUAUUUUGAUGUCUUUUGGUUCAACAUGAUUUUUGUCCCAUUUCUGUGGAUUUGUGUUUGAAAUUUGAAUUGACUUUAUGUCCUGUACUACACAGUUCCUAUACUGUUGCUUGACAUUCAUAUACCUUCCUUGCCCUAUUACUUUGUCGGAAGGAAAAAACUAAGUUAUCGCCUGAAGUUUGAACUCUAUGUAUGUUCUUUUGGGGGAUGUUUAGGAGAACUAGUGGCCCAACAAGACGUUCAACAAAAGGACAAUGGACACCUGAAGAGGUAAGUUUAUCAUGUAUCAUACUGCAGUCUGUUAGAUAUUUCUUCUCAUUGUUCUAGUUGGCUGCAGGACAGAAUGGUGAUGUUUUUUGUUUUUCUUUUUUGAGUGUGGGUGUGUGUGUGGGUGUGUGUGUGGGGGGGGGGGGGGGGGGGGGGGGGUGGGUAGAAUGUUGUCUUCCUUAUUUUUACUUUGCUCACAAUUUUGUUGUUCCAAAAGUUGUAUGUUUGAUGAGUAAUCUGUUUUAUACACAUCCAGGAUGAAAUUUUGCGACAAGCAGUUGAUCAUUUCAAAGGCAAGAACUGGAAGAAAAUAGGUACUAUUGAUGUGUUGGAUACUAUAGAGGCCAAGAAUAUAUUUUAUUGUACUGAAGAUGUUCUCUUCUUGGGUCAUUUUUAACUUGUAUGUAAAGUGUACCUACGGUAUUUAGAUGAUUAGAUAACCUAAUUUAUCGUGUAAAAGGAGGCCAUAUUUCACGAUGAACAAUAUUUUGUAUGGACUACUGUGUUACUGCAUCACUGGUUCAUUUGUUAUUGGUUGUUUGUAGCUGGAUAUUUCAAGGAUCGGACUGAUGUACAAUGUCUGCAUAGGUGGCAAAAGGUUUUAAAUCCCGAGCUUGUCAAAGGUCCAUGGUCUAAAGAGGUGAUCUGCUUGUGAAAUUUUAGUAAUUAUAAUUUAAUAAUCGUCCUACUCUUUCGAUGCUCUAUAUGUGGAAUUCUACAUGAACUUACCUGUUUGCUUGUGAAUUGAAUGUAGGAAGAUGAGAUUAUCAUAGACCUGGUGAACAAAUAUGGACCAAAAAAGUGGUCCACAAUUGCAACACAUUUACCUGGACGUAUUGGCAAGCAAUGCCGAGAAAGGUAAGACAAUUGAGUUACUUUCUUGCUUCUUCUUUAUUUAUUUAUUUUUGACUUUUGAUUCUCCUAUUACUUUUAUUAUCUCUUUGGUUAACCCCAUCUGUUGAAUAUUUAUUUUCUGGAUUCAAUUAUGAUUGGUGGUGCCAUCAAGUUGAACUUAUCAUGCGUCCCUACUUGAUGUUCAAUUAAAUUUUCAGCUGUCCUCAGAUUCUUUUACAUAAACUGCUUUCUUUUUUAAAGGUGGCACAACCACCUCAAUCCUAAUAUAAACAAAGAAGCAUGGACCCAAGAGGAGGAGUUAGCUUUAAUUCGUGCUCAUCAAAUUUAUGGCAACAGAUGGGCAGAACUAACAAAGUUCUUACCUGGAAGGUGUGUCCCAUAUUUAUAUCUUAAAGUUGAAGGCAUUAUGUGGGGUUGUCCUAUAUGUGCAUAAUUUUGUUCCUAUAAAUCUUUUCAGAUUAAAAUUGUUGAAUUUCUUUUCAUUGCAGCUUUAUUCUCUACAACUGCAUUUCUUUCCAUUUUUAAUUGGAAAAUUCACUUGAUUCUGAAAAAUGUUGUAUUUGUGCUUUUAUAAUCAACAGGACAGACAAUGCCAUAAAAAACCAUUGGAACAGUUCUGUCAAAAAGAAAUUGGACUCUUACUUUGCCUCAGGCUUGCUCUCACAAUUUCAAGAUCCAGUUCCCGCUGGACAACCAAACAAACUCCCAGUUUCAUCUUCAAAGGUGCUUGGUAGUGGAAAUGACAGUGGCUUGAAGGGAAUGGAUACAGAGGAGAUUUCAGAGUGCAGUCAAGAUGCAACAGUUUCUGAUAGCUUGAUGAUCGAUUCAGCAUGUGCCACCCUGAAUAUAAGAAAAGAAUUUCAGUUAACCGAGGAUUUGGGAUUGGGAAAGGAGCAAAGUGCCAGCCCAAUAUCCAAUUCGGAACCAUACUACCGUCCUUCCAUGGAAGUAAGCACUUGUCCAAUUGCCGAGUUUGCUCAAGAAAUGGGUCACUCAUCACAUUCGCAGCAAAAUCUCUCGAAUGAUUGUAGAACAACAUCAAAUAGGGAGCACCAGUGUGAUUUGAAUCAGUUUCCUAACAUCUCUUCAUUACAGGUGGCCAAAGAAGCAUCACAGUUUCAAUCAAUGGGUCAUGGGAUGGGUGAAAGUCAUGGAGUUGGUGAUUCUGCUCAAACUUCUUCGAUGAUAAAAGAAGCUGUGGCUUCUGCCCAAGCAGAGUGCAUGUUUAUAUCUGAUGAUGAGUGUUGCAGGGUCCUAUUCUCAGAUACAAAAAGUGAUAGAGGCCAUCUGACUAGUAAUCUUAAAGGACCCUGUGUAUCUGAAAUGUGUGAUUACGUAGUACCAGUUCACUCCUUGGGAACUCCAAAAGUGGAAAAUAACCAUACUUUGACUCCACAGAUAUAUAAUCAUCCGUCAGGAACUGAUGUGCAGGAGAAAAAUUCCUUUGGUCAAUCUGGCAUGCUGAUUCCAUCUAUGGUUUCUGUCAAUGGUGACGUGAUUUUAUUAGGCGGUACUGGAUCCAACCUCUUUGUAGGAGCCGUAGAGCACGGAUGUGUAACUAGCCAGCAAAAUAGGUUUGUUUAUAAAGAUGGAACAUCCAAGCCUUCCUAUUUUGAUGUUGCAGAUAACCCAGAAAUGCAAGAACAGCCUGGCGGAUCAGAAGACCUGCCAAAAGCAAUUUGUGAGGAUACAUUUGCAACAGCAGCAGCGGAAGCAGAUGGUACAGGUACAUGCACUCGUUUGGACGAAACAGCGAAACAAAAUGAUAAACAUCUAGACUCGAGAGCUCUUUGUUACGAGCCUCCUCGUUUUCCAAGUUUAGAUGUUCCUUUUUUCAGCUGUGAUCUCAUACAGUCAGGAAGUGAAAUGCAGGAGUACAGCCCACUCGGUAUCCGUCAGUUGAUGAUGUCUUCUCUAAACUCUGUUACUCCAUUCAGAUUAUGGGAUUCACCAUCUCGUGAUACUAGUCCAGAUGCCGUACUGAAAAGCGCUGCCAAAACUUUUACCAGUACUCCAUCUAUUUUGAAGAAACGACACCGUGAUUUAAUGUCUCCUCUUUCUGAAAGAAGAACCGACAAAAAGCUUGAAACCGAUGUGACAUCCAGUUUGACCGAAAACUUUUCACGCUUGGAUGUUGUGUUCAAUGAUGGGUCUGAUAAAGCUUCUAUAUUAUCUCCAUCUAACCUAAAGAAAAGUAUUGAAGAUUCUGCUGAUAAUAAAGAAAAUAUGUAUUGUACCUUUGAAGAUAGUAAUGAAUCUCAAGACAUCAUGAUUUCAGAGAAUGGUUUUCCAAAACGUUGUUCCCAAGACUAUACAAAACAAGGGACUGCUGAUACCGAGAUGAUAAGCGUUCGAUCCACAUCUGAAAUUGUUAGUCACUUUCAACCAACUUUUUGGUAGAUGAUUGAUUUUUGUUAUCAUUGAAGAAUUACCAAGCUAUUUUUAUUGUAUUGAAGAAUCAAGUUUACUGGGUAUCCAACAUUCAACGUGUAUUUCUUUUACGACGAACACAAUCUGAUAGUUAAUUUCACCUUUGAAAGGUACCUCCUGGAGUCUUGGCUGAACAUGAUGCCAAUGACUUGCUACUCCAUUCUGUUGAUCAAAAAGCUCUCAAUUCAAGUACAAGAAUUAAGAAACGACACUGUCUGAGCAAAUCGGAAGAUGCAUCAAAUGCUGACAAUGUAAAGCAGAUAGAUUCUACUCGACCACAGACUACAGCCACCGGAAUUGCUUCAUUGUGAGAUUCAUCUUCCUCUCUGUUUAAUGCAUUAUUCCUUUCAUGUUUACAUUUAUGGAGUUCCAGUGUUGUGUUCUGCUUUCUUUUUUAACUUUUAUGAACUCUAAUGGACAUCGUGUUAUGGCUUUUAGACCUGGAGCUGGUGAAACUCCAUUCAAGAGAAGUAUCGAAUCCCCAUCAGCAUGGAUGUCUCCUUGGUUUUUCAAUUCUUUCCUACCUGGCCCGAGGAUCGAUACUGAAAUAUCGAUCGAGGUAGUACUUAGUUAGAUUGUUUGGAAUGGGAAAGAAGUAUUCAUUAAACGAUGGUUUGAUCAAAUUGUUGUAUUUUUGUUGAAUAGGACAUUGGGUAUUUUUCGAGCCCGAAGGAAAGAAGCCUUGAUGCAAUUGGGUUAAUGAAACAAGUAAGCGAGAGAACGGCAGCUGCAUGUGCCAAUGCCCAUGAAGUGUUGGGAAAUGAAACUCCAGACACACUUCUGAAGGGAACGCGUAUGAAACAUCUCCAUUGUGAUGAAGCUGUUCUGGUAAUCAUUCUUUCCAAACACCUUCAUCAUUCUCUUUUCUUUUUGGCAAAAAGGUUCUUUCUCUAAAAAAAUUUACCUUUUCAAAGUGAAAUAUAUUCCAAAUGCUACGUUUUGAUACAUAUCAAGUUUUCAAGCAAAAGAGACUUUGUUAUUAUUUUUUUAAUGGAAAAAAUAAAUCAUGAUAGCCGAUGAUAUUUAAACUUCUUUUUUUUAAAAAAAAAACUUUUUAGAUAAAAAUAUUUACAAAUAGCAAAUAUAUUACAAUCUGGGUCGAUUUAGUUUUAAAACAUUUAAUUUGAUCCGAGUAAUAAGAGAGAAAGAUUUGAGUUGUGGUUUUGGGUAAUAUUGUAAAGUUGUACGAUUUGACUUUCAGGCAGAGUGUAGGGUAUUGGACUUCAGCGAAUGUGGCUCUCCAGGAAAAGUAGGGACAAUGGGUGCGUGAAAACAACAACAGUAGAGACCACCCGUCCCCUUUUCUAUCUUCUCAACGGCUGCACAUAACAAAUCUAUCUGCCUUCAACUUCCUUGACGUAAUGUGUGUUCAUUCGUCCCCCUAGAAGAAAAAAGAGAAGGGAAAAAAACAGGGAAGAAAUUGUAAUUGUACGUGAUUCUCUAGAUUAUCAUCGGUCUGACCUAAACUUCAAAACUUUGAAUAUAAAUGAAAAAUCAAAGAGCCUUUUUCUCAAAGGGCAAAUGAGCACCGAUAAUUUCUUCAAAUGAAAUGUUAAAAGAGACAAGUUUUUGCCAACAAGAUGACAACAAAUUGCUUCCAGUAUGGUGAGCAACAAUGAUUAUUUAAUAAUAUGGUAAGAGAACUAAAGCAAGACUAUAGAAGUGGGGGAACAAAAAUUAGAGGACACGAGUCACGGCUGCAUGGAUUGCGUCCGCAAGGUGAGGUACGGUCCUUGAGCUCAAACCUGCCAUGCUGAUUCUCCUGCAACACGUAACAAAGUUAUAAAAAAAGAAUAUUUACCUUCAUUCAUAAUCAAUAAUUAAUUCAAUCAUUUUAUGGAAGUUGUUUUUAUGAAAAUUUUAAUUUUAUAAAAUAUUUACAUUCUAAUUCGACACUGUAUCACACAAUCUAAAAUUUAAAUUCAAAUUCAACACUAUGUCAAAGUAGCUAAAAUUUAAAAUUACUAUGUCAAAGAAUCUAAAAUUUAAAAUUUUGUUAAAUUUUGUUUAACCUAUAAAUAUUUUAAUUAUAGAAUCUAAAAUUUAAAAUUACUAUGUCAAACAAUUUAAAAUUUAAAAUUUGUUAUAAGUGAAAUAUUUUAAUCAUAGAAUUUAAAACUUAAAAUUCAAAAUUCAAAAACUUAAAAUUCAAAUCCGACGUCAAAAAAUUAAAACUCAUAAAUAUUUUAAUUUAUUUUAGAACUUUUAAAAAUGGUCUUGUUUCUAAUCGAGAGGUUUUUAAAUAAUAGAACAUUUGAAAAUUUCAUUUUUAUAUUUGCUAUUAAAUAUUUAAGUUUAUUUUUCUAUAUUAAAAAAAAAAGGAAAGAAUCAAAUAUAUUAAGAAAAAAAUAUCAAACAAGCUUAGGAAAAAGGGGCAAGAAAAACAAAAAUAUGGGUAGACGAAAAUGAUUGGGGAUAUAGAGAAGUGAUUAUAGCAAUGUGAAAGGAAAGAUGCUUUACCCAUCAGAGGUCAUGUAAAUAUGAUAUUCUUUGGUCAUGAAGCUAACUUGUUCCGAGUUCAAUCCUGUGAAUGUAAACAUCCCAAUCUGUUUGAUGAUGUGACUCCAAUCACCAGGUGUACCUUCAUCACAUACACACAUACACAUGAAUGGUCAAUAACACACCACAAGACCCCUUCAAAUAUGGCUUCUAAUACCAUAUUUUCAACCACGACCAACCAAUUUUGUUGAUUCCUUUUACUCUUUUCCCAAAUUUCAUACUCCCUUCCAUGUGAGGGAUGAUAAAUCAGGCAUUUGUUUUAUAGCACUUUAGUCUACUUGAGAAAAUCUAAACGCUGUGUUUAAUUAGGAUGCAAUUAAAAGAUUUGAAUUCGAUGACAGAUCUCCCCAUCUAUAAACCACAAAUCUUGAUUGACUAUGCAAUUCUUAAAAUAAAGCAGUUCCGAACAUUACAAAAUAACUUGUUGCAUCAUUCAUACCAAACUUCAUAUUAGCCCUCAAAAUCUAUGGAUUGGAUGGAUGGAUUAUAAUAUUCUAUUCAUUCUUCAUAUUAGCUCUCCAUAUUAUUCUAUUUGCAAUUCUGUUGUUAAUUAACAUUUCCUUUCUUCCACAUUCCUCUAGGAUUUUCUAGAAUAUUUAAUUUUUCUCCAAAAGGAACCUCCUACUCGUUUUCAAGGCAUCACUGUUAUCUCACCAGACCGCAACGCACACAAGACGACCAGAAAAUAUUCACCAGAAAGCCAUCGGUAUCAUAUCAAUUCACUAGCCAGGACCAUUAGGUCCCCCUAAUCAUUCACCCAUCGCACUCAAUUCUCCCGACUAGUCCCUCCCAAAUGAAAGCUUCCUAAAUUUAACCAUACAAUACACAAAAUGGAUGUAUAAGGUAAAACUAAAUCAUGCACCGUCUCUUCCCUUUCUCCUCUUCAAAAUCUCAUAACCAACUAUAAGUAAUUAAGAUUACAAUGAUUGUUCAGGCCUAAUGACCGACCCAUUAUUUGACUACUUUUUUUACUUCUCAUAAUUAAGGUUAUAUAAACGCUGCUUCCAGCUACUAUUUUCCUUAUUUUGUGAUCUAUCUCUAUGAGCAGUUUUGAAAAUGAAAAAUAAAGGCAGUUCAAAUUAUUUAUUCAUUUCCUUUUUUGAAAACCACACAGUAGAAAAUAUAAGAAAAUCAGCACAACCUUCCAAAAUAGAAAGUUAAAAACUAAAUCGUUUUCGAAGGGAAACUAAAUUUGAAUUUUAUGAUAAAUUGAGAUUCAGCCUUGUCCACCUACCUAAUCUGCAUUCCCAAUUAUGAUCGUUCUUCUCAUCCACACCCCAAAUGUUUUAUUCCCUUUAUUCUCUUAUUGAUUACUCUUACCCUUAGCUAUAUCCUUUGAAUAAGACCAUGCAGUCACAAAAGGAACUGGUAUAAUGAGGCUAGUAAGCACUCAAAAGAACUCAAAAUGGAUACCAAGAGAAUAAAUACUAACCUCUAGCGCGCAGGGCAUCAAAAAGUUGCUGGCGCAUGCUAAUAAUACGGUCUGCCAUGGCCUUCAACUCAACAGUCCAUUCAUUGAACAAAUCCCUACCAUUGAAACAAAGAUAUUGCUUUCAUUUUUUUGGAUAAGAUCAAAGAUAUUGAUUUCAUGAUGCAUGGACAGUGAAUCAGUUCCACACAAAUUUUCAGAAUUGGAAAUAAAGUAAACACAAGCAUCUUGCUUAUAGAUGUUCGUUCGCCUUCCCAAUCUGAGUUGAGGUCAUAUGAGAAGUUCUUAUUUUUACCUGUCCUUCAGGACUGUAGCGACAAUAGAUGCUCCGUGGAUGGGUGGGCUCGAGUACAUGGGCCUUAUCACUAGUUUUAGCUGGCUCUCUACCCUGCUUGCAACAUCAGCAUUCUUGCAGACCUGUUCAAGAGUAAAAAUGCGUAAGAUCAAGGCAGAAAAUUUAAAAAAAUACUAGCUUAGACACCAUCCAUGCAUGUUCCUGCUUCAAAGAUUCUUUGAAUGAAAAAAAAAUGUCUAUCAAUAAGCUCUUGCAGUUUAGAAAUCUGUAUUUUUACCAAUUUAGUAAAUUUCUAUUAUUAACAGUAAUGAUAAUACAAGCAGUUAUUAUAUUUCCACGAAUAAUAUGCACAAUUUUCCAGAGUACCAAAAAUUUAUCAUUUCAAAAGAAUAGUGCAGUGGAAAAUCAUGCACGUGACAAUAAGACGACACAAUUUAUAGUAACCUACAAUAACUUACUCAUCUCAAUUUAUAAUAGAACCUGUAUUUGCCAAUAAUACCACACAGACUCCAUAUUCAAUCAAUGAAGAUGUGAUGCUCUAUAUCUCAAUAAAUCAAGUAUGGACAUUCUUCUAAAAACCUUACAAUGCUUAAAGCGCCAACACGUUCGCCAUAUAGCCCCAAAUUCUUUGCGUAACUCUGGGCUACAAAACAUUCACCUCCAUCAGCAACAAAUAAGCGCACAGGCUGUGCAUCCUUAUCCAAACUUCCACUGGCAAAACCCUGUAUAAUAAGAGGCAAAUAUAUCAGAAGUUUAAACGCCUAGAUUAUCUUUUUUAGUUGUUGAUGUGCAAGUCAUUCUUUAUUUUAUAAUAUCUAUAACCCUUACCUGAUAAGCACUGUCAAAGAAAGGUAAAAGCUGUUUUGAUCUCAUCAACUUCCUGAUCUGAUCCCAUUGUUCAAGGGUUGGAUCGACACCAGUUGGGUUGUGCGCACAUGCAUGAAGCAAAACUAUAGCUCCAGAUGGGGCAGAACCAAGAUCUUCCAAGAGGCCUGUAACACAUUAAAGUUGUCCAACCAAUGGUAAGGAAUGGUAAGGGACUGACAUACUCAACAUCAAAAGCUUCAGUAACCAAUCAUCUUAAAGCACUCCCAUAUGGGAUACCAGGAACACUGUAGUCUAAAAGGCUAUACAAGUUGAGAGUAAUCUAAUUGAACCAACACUUCAGUGAAAGAUAAAAACACGUUGGAAUUCAUUAUGGUGAUAGAACCAAAAAAGCCUAUUGCAUAGUAGUAAUAAAAGAGAACGAGUUUGAACCUUGAAAAUCCAACCCCCGUGUUGAGGGAUCAUAAUAUCUGUAAGUUUUUACAGAUAGACCAGCCAGAUUAAAAACUUUGGGGUGGUUCCCCCAUGUUGGCAGGGGAAUGUAUAUAAGCCGCUGAAAAACAAGAAAAUAAAGCAUGUUGAGAUGGCUUUAUUACUUUGAUAAAGUAAAGCAUAACAAGCAUGAUAAUUGAACACCUAAGCGACUCCGCACCUCAUGAUAAUGUCUUGCCAAAAACUCACUACCAACCCUCAAUGAUCCAGUACCGGACAAGCAUUGAACAGUUGUGACACGAUUCUCAAGGAUGGCAGGGCUAUAUAAAAGUAAGAAUUAGAAAUACGAUCCAAAAAGAGAAAACUAUUUAACCAAAGAUGCUGUUCCAAGUAUGAGCUAACCAACUGUAAAUAAUAUCGGUACAGCUUACCUGUCAGCGCCAAAAAUAAGCUUCGCACUCUGUUUAUUAAACUCCGCCAAUCCCACAAUCGGAAGAUACUCCUUAACUCGUGAACUGCAGGUCAUUAAAAUAAGAAGCUCAACAUAUAUCUACAUCAAGUAACAAUCCCAAGAGAAUGAAGAAAAAUACCUAUCAUUAACAAGCUGAUGCUCUGCUUUUCUGACAACGUUCAAUACAAGAGGUUUUCCUUCCUAUCAUAUCAAAAUACUACAAUAUUAAAAAAUUUCUAACUAGACACGCCAACUGCUUAGACAUCUCGAUAAUGAAUAAAUUAAAAGAUGCGACAAUCUAAAGCAACAGAUACGUACCUCUGUCCUAUAAGCACCAACGCCCAAAUUCAACUUGUUCGGACUCGGAUCUUUGUUGUAUGCAACAGUCACCUAUCCAUUCAACAUAGUGAUUUAUAUAUAUUAGCAAAAAUUGCAAAAAUUCGGAUAGAUAGUUAUAAAUAUGCAUUAAACAAAAAUAACGAGAAGAUUUUUGUCCGAUAGUCUUCUUAUUUCUUAAAAAUCUCCUUCGGCGUUUCUAAAGCCAUUAAACCAAGUGAUAAGCGGAACAAAUUUCCAAAACACAACAAAAUGACAUCAGAAGCAACAGCCAGUUAGAUUUCAAGAAAAACACACAAGCAACGAUCAUGAUCCACAAACAGCCAACGAAAAACUCCCGAUCACAACAAUCCAAAAGGCUCGACAUAGUUCAUUUCAAUAAAAUACCGUACAUAAUAGAAACAGAAAAGUCCGAAUCAGAGACGUGAAUAAUUAAAAACUUAAACUAAGAGCAAGAGAAGAGAAAGAAAAAACGAAAAGGAAAUCCGCUGAACUUGUCGGCAACGGAACAAAGAAAUGCAAGUGGAGAGAAAAUUGAUCAGCAGAGCAAAGAACGAAAAAAAAAAAAAAAACUACAAGGAUUGAUGGAAAGAGA
rnacentral:lncRNA from 1 species